ACGCUGGCGGCAGGCCUAACACAUGCAAGUCGAGCGGUAGAGAGAAGCUUGCUUCUCUUGAGAGCGGCGGACGGGUGAGUAAUGCCUAGGAAUCUGCCUGGUAGUGGGGGAUAACGUUCGGAAACGGACGCUAAUACCGCAUACGUCCUACGGGAGAAAGCAGGGGACCUUCGGGCCUUGCGCUAUCAGAUGAGCCUAGGUCGGAUUAGCCAGUUGGUGGGGUAAUGGCUCACCAAGGCGACGAUCCGUAACUGGUCUGAGAGGAUGAUCAGUCACACUGGAACUGAGACACGGUCCAGACUCCUACGGGAGGCAGCAGUGGGGAAUAUUGGACAAUGGGCGAAAGCCUGAUCCAGCCAUGCCGCGUGUGUGAAGAAGGUCUUCGGAUUGUAAAGCACUUUAAGUUGGGAGGAAGGGCAGUAAGUUAAUACUUUGCUGUUUUGACGUUACCGACAGAAUAAGCACCGGCUAACUCUGUGCCAGCAGCCGCGGUAAUACAGAGGGUGCAAGCGUUAAUCGGAAUUACUGGGCGUAAAGCGCGCGUAGGUGGUUCGUUAAGUUGGAUGUGAAAUCCCCGGGCUCAACCUGGGAACUGCAUUCAAAACUGACGAGCUAGAGUAUGGUGGAGGGUGGUGGAAUUUCCUGUGUAGCGGUGAAAUGCGUAGAUAUAGGAAGGAACACCAGUGGCGAAGGCGACCACCUGGACUGAUACUGACACUGAGGUGCGAAAGCGUGGGGAGCAAAC
rnacentral:rRNA from 1 species